rnacentral:rRNA from 1 species
AGGAAAGCAGGGGAUCGAAAGACUUGCGCUUUUGGAGCGGCCGAUGUCUGAUUAGCUAGUUGGUGAGGUAAAGGCUUACCAAGGCUUCGAUCAGUAGCUGGUCUGAGAGGACGACCAGCCACACUGGGACUGAGACACGGCCCAGACUCCUACGGGAGGCAGCAGCGGGGAAUUUUGGACAAUGGGGGAAACCCUGAUCCAGCCAUGCCGCGUGAGUGAAGAAGGCCUUCGGGUUGUAAAGCUCUUUCAGCCGGAACGAAACGGUCACGGUUAAUACCCGUGAUCACUGACGGUACCGGAAGAAGAAGCACCGGCUAACUACGUGCCAGCAGCCGUGGUAAUACGUAGGGUGCGAGCGUUAAUCGGAAUUACUGGGCGUAAAGCGUGCGCAGGCGGUUUUGUAAGUCAGAUGUGAAAUCCCCGGGCUCAACCUGGGAACUGCGUUUGAAACUACAAGGCU